rnacentral:rRNA from 1 species
GACGAACGCUGGCGGCGUGCUUAACACAUGCAGGUCGAACGGAAAGGCCCUGCUUUUGUGGGGUGCUCGAGUGGCGAACGGGUGAGUAACACGUGAGUAACCUGCCCUUGGCUUUGGGAUAACUUCAGGAAACUGGGGCUAAUACCGGAUAGGAGCUCCUGCUGCAUGGUGGGGGUUGGAAAGUUUCGGCGGUUGGGGAUGGACUCGCGGCUUAUCAGCUUGUUGGUGGGGGAGUGGCUUACCAAGGCUUUGACGGGUAGCCGGCCUGAGAGGGUGACCGGCGACAUUGGGACUGAGAUACGGCCCAGACUGCUACGGUGGGCAGCAGUGGGGAGUAUUGCACAAUGGGCGGAAGCCGGAUGCAGCAACGCCGCGUGCGGGAUGACGGCCUUCGGGUUGUAAACCGCUUUCGCCUGUGACGAAGCUUGUGUGACGGUAAUGGGUAAAGAAGCACCGGCUAACUACGUG